rnacentral:rRNA from 1 species
UACGGGGGGGGGCAAGCGUUGUUCGGAAUUACUGGGCGUAAAGGGCUCGUAGGCGGCCAACUAAGUCGGACGUGAAAUCCCUCAGCUUAACUGGGGAACUGCGUCUGAUACUGGCGAGCUUGAGUGCAGGAGAGGAACGCAGAAUUCCAGGUGUAGCGGUGAAAUGCGUAGAUAUCUGGAGGAAUACCGGUGGCGAAGGCGGCGUUUCUGGACUGCAACUGACACUGAUGAAACGAAAAGCCCAGGGGGAGCAAAACGGGG